GAUCACCAACACGGGCACCCGUGUAGAUGCACACGGCCCGUGUUGUUUUGUACGGGAUGGAUUUUUGAAAUUUUUGAAUUUUUUUGUUUUAAGUGGUGGGACCCACUGGACUUAUAACUCAUCUCCACCACUUAUCCUUCAUUAUUCUGGUUUUACAAGACUCUCAUUCUCUCUUCCUCCAUUGUUAACCUAGCCUCCACCACCAAAAGCUUCAGUUUUCACCACUAUAAACUCCA
rnacentral:lncRNA from 1 species